rnacentral:lncRNA from 1 species
AGCGUACGUUGAAAAUUAUGGCGACGAUGUGGAGGAGACGGAGACUGCGGCUGAAAGUGAACGUAGGUGAUUAGGGUGAUAAUUGCUUUGAUUUUUUAUUUUGUUUCCCUUUCUAAAUAAAUAUCUUUGUGUUUCCGAAGGUGGCGAAGCGGUAGAGGAUAUCGAGGGGGGGGGGAGGGGCAGAGCGGCGAAGAGGCGCAUGGCCUUGAUGAUUUUAAAGAAUUUCUGGUCGGGAGGUUUUUUGCGACAGACCGAUUCCCAAGCGAGAGACAUAAUCUGAAAUCUGGGAAUCUUAGGAAUGUUUGAGAGAAUGAAAUGGUAGGAGAUAGAAAGAAAGAAGUUCAAUACAUACAGGUUGCAUACGGUUUUGAUCUAAACGAAAUAUCUAUUUUGUGUUUUGUGUAUGUACAUUUUUUCGUGUACACAAAUACAUUGGGUGAGCACGAUGAUGUAUACACAAAUGUUAGUGUACACAUGUACAUGUUAAAGAGAUAUGAAAGUCAUAUUCUACUGCCAUUUGAGAAUCAACUUCAUUAAGCUUUGUAUAAUGAUAUGAAAGUCAUAUUCUACUGCCAUUGUGUACAUCUAUGUCGUGUACAAAUUGGUUUUGUACAUCCCAUGUUGUGUACACGUGUAACCGAUUGUAGCUCGCAGUGGUGGCUCUCCAUUUUUUUUAUGAAAACCUAUCGUGUUGACCAAUUGCACUGUGUUUUUUAUGUAAGGAUUCUAGGUGUUUGAGUUGUUUAGAACAAAACGUUAUGAGGUGUUUGUUUUUUUGUGACAUUGACAUCUUUUUUUGUUUAUAA